UACAGAGGAUGCAAGCGUUAUCCGGAAUGAUUGGGCGUAAAGCGUCUGUAGGUGGCUUUUUAAGUCCGCCGUCAAAUCCCAGGGCUCAACUCUGGACAGGCGGUUGAAACUACCAAGCUGGAGUACGGUAGGGGCAGAGGGAAUUUCCGGUGGAGCGGUGAAAUGCGCAGAUAUCAGGAGGAACACCAAUUGCGAAGGCAGCUCGCUGGGACGUUACUGACGCUGAGACGCGAAAGCGUGGGGAGCAAACAGG
rnacentral:rRNA from 1 species